CCAGGGCGGCCAAACGUCGUCCGACUCUGACUGCUUCGUUCCCUCGCGAGCGCGUCCGGCUACCCCGGUCUAGUCCCCGUCGUCGAUACCCACCCCACUGGUUAAACUGCAUCACCACCUCGCCCCCUCUUCGGCGACGCUUCACCUCCCCAGACCCUCCGUCCGGAGAUAUGAUACUUCAGUGCUGCACUUGAAGAUUUGACCCAUCGUGGUCCUAGUCCUGUUCUAUCUGCUGGUGCUAGGCAGACUGAAUGGCUUUCCGAGAGGAGAGAUAUGUGAGGUUUCAUGACUGGAGGUCAGAGUAUUCUGUCGGGUCAGAUAAGAUAGUUUCAGAAGGAAGGCAUACUGCAUUUGACUCACUAAAGGAUAAGACUCUAGGAGCCUUCUCAUUCUUAGGGAACAGUUCACACCCUGAAACCCUGAACAAAUCAACACCAGAGGAAAGGAAGGCCAAAACAAGAGUUCUUGAUCCUCAAGGGCCAUUUUUGCAAAGAUGGAACAAGAUAUUUGUGAUAUCAUGUCUAAUUGCAGUUUCUGUGGACCCACUAUUCUUUUAUAUCCCAGUGAUCGAUGGUGUCAAGAACUGCCUAUAUCUGGACAAAAAGUUGGCAACCAUUGCAAGUAUCCUGCGCUUCUUCACAGACAUCUUCUAUUUGCUCCAUAUAAUAUUUCAGUUCAGAACAGGAUUUGUUGCUCCUUCCAGAGUAUUUGGUCGUGGUGUCUUGGUUGAAGACACCUUUGCAAUAGCAAAGCGUUAUCUAACUACAUACUUUCUGAUUGAUUUUUUAGCUGUUAUGCCCCUCCCUCAGGUUUUUGUAUUGUUAGUGCUACCCCAUCUCAAAGAUUCCAAGGUUAUGGAGGCAAAAGAUAUACUGAUGGUUAUUGUUACAUGUCAGUACGUGCCUCGGCUCGUUCGAAUAAUACCACUCUACCUUCAAAUCACAAGGUCGGCUGGCAUAAUUACAGAGACGGCAUGGGCUGGUGCUGCUUUUAACCUUUUAAUUUAUAUGCUCGCUAGCCAUGUGUUUGGAGCCCUUUGGUACCUUCUUUCCAUUCAGCGAGAAGAUACCUGCUGGAGAAAAGAAUGUGGCAAGAUAAACUGUAACUUUGCAUCUUUAUAUUGCGGGAGUAAUACAGCUAGAGACACUAUUUUCCUGCAAAAUGUCUGUCUGACAAAUGGCAGCGACGAUAUAGACCCAACCUUUGGAAUUUACCUACCGGCUCUCCGAACUGUUUCACAAUCGACGAGUUUCUUUGAGAAAUUUUUCUAUUGCUUUUGGUGGGGUCUGCAAAGUCUAAGCUCUCUUGGUCAAAAUCUGAAAACAAGCACUUACACAUGGGAGAAUUUGUUUGCUGUUUUUGUCUCGAUAUCGGGUUUAGUCUUAUUUGCCCUUCUUAUUGGUAAUGUGCAGACAUAUUUACAAUCAGCCUCUGUGCGGAUAGAAGAAAUGAGAGUGAAAAGACGUGACACAGAGCAAUGGAUGGCACAUCGAUUACUUCCUGAGAACCUCAAGGGGCGAAUAUUGCGUCAUGAGCAAUACAGAUGGCAAGAAACAAGAGGGGUUGAUGAAGAGGGCCUUCUUAUGAAUCUUCCCAAGGAUCUUAGGAGGGAGAUAAAACGACAUCUUUGUCUAUCACUUCUCAUGAGGGUUCCAAUGUUUGAAAACAUGGACGAGCAGCUCUUGGAUGCAAUGUGUGAUCGUCUAAAGCCCAUGCUGUACACUGAGGACAGCUGCAUAAUUCGAGAAGGAGACCCCGUGAAUGAAAUGCUUUUUGUUAUGAGAGGAUAUCUCGAGAGUAUGACGACAAAUGGUGGACAGAGCGGAUUCUUCAACUCCAAUGUUCUCAAAGGUGGAGACUUCUGCGGUGAAGAGCUCCUCACUUGGGCUCUUGACCCCGCUGCAGUUUCAAACCUUCCCAGCUCAACCAGAACAGUGAAGACAUUGUCUGAAGUUGAAGCCUUUGUUCUGAGGGCUGAUGACUUGAAGUUUGUAGCCACCCAGUUUAGGAAACUCCAUAGCAAACAGCUCCAGCAUACCUUUAGAUUCUACUCACAACAGUGGAGAACCUGGGCCGCUUGUUUUAUACAGGCAGCUUGGCACAGAUAUUGCAGAAAGAAGCUAGAGGAUUCUUUGUUUGAGAAGGAGAAGAGGUUACAAGCAGCUAUUGUAAGUGACGACUCUACCAAGCUCAGUCUGGGCGCAGCACUGUACGCCUCGCGUUUUGCUGGCAACAUGAUGCGGAUCUUACGGAGAAAUGCUACCCGAAAGGCCCGUUUGCAGGAAAGGGUGCCUGCAAGGUUGUUACAGAAGCCGGCAGAACCCAACUUUUUUGCCGUUGGAGAGUAAUUUUGACAUACCCUGCUACAAGCAGAAAGUCACAACCCAACUGGUAAAGUUUGUUCUUGUGCCCUCAUCUUCUCCCAGCUCGGCUCAGUUUAUGACUGGAUGCUGUACAUAGAUAGACCGCUUGUUCUGCACCCUUGUAAUUUAUAUAAUGCAAUUCAAUGUAUCAUUGCUUUUCGUUGUCUAUACAUGUGCUGUGUUUGUAUAUUGAAGGUAUCUACUAUAAGCAUUCCACAUUUAUUCGUACCUGAAUUGGAAACAUGAAACUCUUGAAUGAUGUUUUAGGCUGGAAACUCCAUAUGUAACUGGUCAUUUCUUCGUUCCAGCACACAUGCUUGUAGGGCAAACAGUCC
rnacentral:rRNA from 1 species